rnacentral:rRNA from 1 species
AGAGUUUGAUCCUGGCUCAGGACGAACGCUGGCGGCGCGCCUAACACAUGCAAGUCGAACGAGCGAGAGAGAGCUUGCUUUCUCAAGCGAGUGGCGAACGGGUGAGUAACGCGUGAGGAACCUGCCUCAAAGAGGGGGACAACAGUUGGAAACGACUGCUAAUACGCAUAAGCCCACGGCUCGGCAUCGAGCAGAGGGAAAAGGAGCAAUCCGCUUUGAGAUGGCCUCGCGUCCGAUUAGCUAGUUGGUGAGGUAAUGGCCCACCAAGGCGACGAUCGGUAGCCGGACUGAGAGGUUGAACGGCCACAUUGGGACUGAGACACGGCCCAGACUCCUACGGGAGGCAGCAGUGGGGAAUAUUGCACAAUGGGGGAAACCCUGAUGCAGCGACGCCGCGUGGAGGAAGAAGGUCUUCGGAUUGUAAACUCCUGUUGUUGGGGAAGAUAAUGACGGUACCCAACAAGGAAGUGACGGCUAACUACGUGCCAGCAGCCGCGGUAAAACGUAGGUCACAAGCGUUGUCCGGAAUUACUGGGUGUAAAGGGAGCGCAGGCGGGAAGACAAGUUGGAAGUGAAAUCUAUGGGCUCAACCCAUAAACUGCUUUCAAAACUGUUUUUCUUGAGUAGUGCAGAGGUAGGCGGAAUUCCCGGUGUAGCGGUGGAAUGCGUAGAUAUCGGGAGGAACACCAGUGGCGAAGGCGGCCUACUGGGCACCAACUGACGCUGAGGCUCGAAAGUGUGGGUAGCAAACAGGAUUAGAUACCCUGGUAGUCCACACCGUAAACGAUGAUUACUAGGUGUUGGAGGAUUGACCCCUUCAGUGCCGCAGUUAACACAAUAAGUAAUCCACCUGGGGAGUACGACCGCAAGGUUGAAACUCAAAGGAAUUGACGGGGGCCCGCACAAGCAGUGGAGUAUGUGGUUUAAUUCGACGCAACGCGAAGAACCUUACCAAGUCUUGACAUCCCUUGACGAUGCUGGAAACAGUGUUUCUCUUCGGAGCAAGGAGACAGGUGGUGCAUGGUUGUCGUCAGCUCGUGUCGUGAGAUGUUGGGUUAAGUCCCGCAACGAGCGCAACCCUUAUGGUCAGUUACUACGCAAGAGGACUCUGGCCAGACUGCCGUUGACAAAACGGAGGAAGGUGGGGAUGACGUCAAAUCAUCAUGCCCUUUAUGACUUGGGCUACACACGUACUACAAUGGCGUUAAACAAAGAGAAGCAAGACCGCGAGGUGGAGCAAAACUCAGAAACAACGUCCCAGUUCGGACUGCAGGCUGCAACUCGCCUGCACGAAGUCGGAAU